rnacentral:misc_RNA from 1 species
GUAAGAGAUAGAAAGGGAAGAGUCAGAAGAUUUGAUAAGAUAAGGGUGGAUAUAUUCAGGUUGGUCACCAUUUUUAAGGGCAAAGUUCUGAAAGAAAGAGUUUGUGGGCAAUGGGGAGGAGAGGAGGGAAGGAGAAUAGAAGAGAGAAGGAUCAGGGAGGACAGAGGAUUGGGCUUUAGGGAAGAGAAAAGGAAAAGUUGGAGGCCUGGGGUGGGACUGGGGAGUCAUGGUUGAAGCUGGAGGAGGCGAAGCAGGCGGCGGUGAUGGAGAGGGACUUGGCGAGGGGGAUUUAUAAGAUUGGUGUUCGCGAGGUUUUUUGAANUUGGUGACUAAGGUUUUAAGUCGUUUGACCCGUCUGCCCAGUUUUUUCAGCAUUUUCUUCAGUGGGGACGUGGAUUUGGGUGAAUUUUUUUUUUUAUUAAGAUAAUAAUUAUUAGUUGAGAUUUCGUACAGAGGAAAGAGCAA